rnacentral:rRNA from 1 species
CGGUGAGGUGACUUGUCUGGUUAAUUCCGAUAACGGACGAGACCUCGACCUACUAACUAGCUACUCUUUACUUAUAGUAAGGAGCCAGCUUCUUAGAGGGACUUUGGGAGUUUAUCUCAAGGAAGUUCGAGCCUAUAACA